UGGGGAAUAUUGGGCAAUGGGGGAAACCCUGACCCAGCAACGCCGCGUGAAGGAAGAAGGCUUUCGGGUUGUAAACUUCUUUUACCAGGGACGAAGAAAGUGACGGUACCUGGAGAAAAAGCCACGGCUAACUACGUGCCAGCAGCCGCGGUAAUACGUAGGUGGCAAGCGUUGUCCGGAUUUACUGGGUGUAAAGGGCGUGUAGGCGGGGCUGCAAGUCAGAAGUGAAAUCUAUGGGCUUAACCCAUAAACUGCUUUUGAAACUGUAGCUCUUGAGUAUCGGAGAGGCAGGCGGAAUUCCUAGUGUAGCGGUGAAAUGCGUAGAUAUUAGGAGGAACACCAGUGGCGAAAGCGGCUUUCUGGACGACAACUGACGCUGAGGCGCGAAAGCCAGGGGAGCAAACGGGAUUAGAUACCCUGGUAGU
rnacentral:rRNA from 1 species